ACGUCAAAUCAUCAUGCCCCUUAUGUCUUGGGCUACACACGUGCUACAAUGGCUCGAACAAAGUGAAGCGAUACCGCAAGGAGGAGCAAAUCACAAAAACGAGUCUCAGUUCGGAUUGCGGGCUGCAACCCGCCCGCAUGAAGUUGGAAUCGCUAGUAAUCGCAAAUCAGCAUGUUGCGGUGAAUACGUUCCCGGGUCUU
rnacentral:rRNA from 1 species